ensembl:lncRNA
UCAGGCACGUGCACAGGUAGGGCUCAACCUGUGCAGAGCACAUGCCCUUUUUCCCCUUACACUCCGAAGUGCCCUUUUUUUAUGGUGUUUUUUUUUUCUUCUUUUUUUUCGCUCUCAAUAAAUCAGUGCUAUUAAUCACCCUUUACGUCUGUCUGUUUUACAAAUAUUUAGCCAAUGAAACAUUAAAUAGAGCUCGUGACUAAAAUCUUGUUGGAUCCGCGAUCCGCUCAAACUGUCAGUAAAACUUCAUAACUCCACCCCCUCUAUCUCGAUUGAAUGAACUGAAGUUCAACAGCAGCAGUGUUGCCAAGUAUGCGGUUUGAAGCGACCUCAACAACAUGAUAUUUAGCCCCUGGAAUGCAAAUUUACCAGGGGAACCCGCCAAAAAAUGUGUAUAUUUACCACCUGGAACGUGAUUUUUAAUGGGGGACCCCCCCCCCACGAAACGCGAUUGGGCUAGUUUUGUGCCAUUUUUGUGUAGCAAUUUGGCGGGUUUUGUUGUGAAAACCUGGCAACCCUGGCCUGCACAGCAGCUGAACGAAGUCUUGCCAUGGUAAAGAUCUUGUUGUUUGAGAAAAGUGUAUUGAAUAGGAGACCUUCAAGAGACCAACAUCCCUGGUCCUCCACAGUCGGCCUAUCAAGUUUUGUCAGGUAUGCAGAUACAUGUUGGAUGUGCUAUAGUAACGGCAUGGCUAUAGUUUCUUAUAAUCUCCUAUUUUGACUGGAAUUGUGUUAGACAUAAUUAUUUAAAUUAUAUUUAAAAAAUAUGCAAAAAUACUUGACUCAUUGCUUUACCUUCCCCUCUUCUCAAUGACACACAUAAACAUGUUAACCAAAUAAUACAAAAUAGCUAAAAAAAAAAAAAAAAAAAAAAUCUUCAGACAUAUUUUCAUUGAACUUUGUGUAGAGGGACAUUUUUUAUUUUUUAUUUAUUUAUUUAUUUGAACAGGGACACUGUAAAAUAUACAUUAACCUUAGAAAGGAGAGAUGCAUUAUACCAGGUUGUAGCACUUAUGCUAAUUUCCACCUGUAGUCCCUGGGCAGGCUGAUGACAAAUAGAUACACAUGUUAAUAAUACAUUUACCCCAAAACAGCAUUAAAAUUACCACACCCUUCAUUCAUUCCUCAGCAUUCAUUUACAAAUACACUCACACAUACACAUCAAUUACAAUACAUUAUGUGAACAUGUUUGUUUAAGAAGAAGCCAUUUUUUGGCCCGAUGUGAAAAAGUGUUAAAAUUUACACAUGUGGUCAACUCUAUUGGCAACUUGUUCCACUGUCUGAUGGCCACACUUGAGAAAGCUGAGUUGCCGAAUGCUGUUUUACACUGAGGAAUCCUACACUCGCCCCGAACAGUCGACCGAGUGACUCGAGAUGUAAUUUCUGAACUCAGUGAGAUGAACUUUUUUAAUGGAGGAGCUGCAGUACCAUUUAUUAUCUUGAACAAAAGACAGAGAUUUGAAUAUAUAAUUAUGUUUUCAAAACUUAAUAUACUAUGUUUUUUAAGAAUAUGACAGUGAUGAAAUAGCCGAGAUUUCUUGUCAUGAACCUUAAGAGAACUUUUAUACAAUGAUUCCAGGGGCCUUAAUGCUGUUUUACAUGCCUGUGACCAACUCGUCAUGCAGUAACGAAAGUGCGGAAUUAUCAUCGCAUUUAGAUAUAAAUUAGAUGCAUCUAUAGUCAGAGAGUUCUUAAUAUAUCUAAAAUGUGCUAUGUUUAAAAAACGUGUUACUUAUCUUUUUAAUAUGUUUUUUAAAUUUAAAUUUGGGUCAAGAAUGACUCCUAAAUUUUUAAUUUGGUCAACCCUUGAGAUUUCCUGACCUUCAAUUAUGAUUUUUGGUUCAGUUUUACAUACCGAGAACUUACGGCGGUUUGUAAAAAACAUAGGAACCGUUUUGUCAACAUUCAAAGUUAAAUGAUAGUUUUUCAGUCAAAUGGAAAUCCCAGUGGAUCCCCAGUGGAUCACAGUGAAGUCAUAAACAUCUUCAAGAUUUCUGUUGUAAUUAGGUUUAAAGAAGCCCUGAAACCUUAUAUAUCUAUAUUAUCUAUAUUAUUAUUAUGAUUGUUAUUAAUAGGAAAUAAAUCUAAAGUUUUUGAGACUAUUAUUUUGUAUCAUUUAAUAUGUCAUUAAGAUGUGACCAAUUAAAAAAAAGGGGGGGG